UUUUUGAAAACCUAACCCUCAGGGUAUGUCAGAUCUGCCACAAAUACAGGAAAUCCACUGUUCACACGGACUGAGUCUCCCUUGUAUUUGUACGGCAUCGCACAAGUACAAGACCCAUAAACAUGAUACAACCACCACAAUUGAAUAUAUAAACAUUCAUAUAUUCAUACAUUCAUACACCAUUCACAUUCAAAUUCACUUUCAGGGUUUUAAUCAUAAAUCCGCAAAUAU
rnacentral:lncRNA from 1 species